GACGAACGCUGGCGGCGUGCUUAACACAUGCAAGUCGAACGGAAAGGCCCUGCUGUUGUGGGGUGCUCGAGUGGCGAACGGGUGAGUAACACGUGAGUAACCUGCCCUUUACUUUGGGAUAACGUCAGGAAACUGGGGCUCAUACCAGGUAUGAGCUCCUGCUGCAUGGGGGGGGUUGGAAAGUUUGGGCGGUUGGGGAUGGACGCGCGGCUUAUCAGUUUGUGGGGGGGGGAGUGGCUUACAAAGGCUUGGAGGGUUAGCCGGCCUGGGCGGGUGACCGGCCCCAUUGGGACUGGGAUACGCCCCAGACCCCUACGGGAGGCAGAAGGGGGGAUUAUUCACAAAUGGGGGGAACCCUGAUGAAGCAAGGCCGCGUGCGGGAUGACGGCCUUCGGGUUGUAAACCGCUUUCGCCGGUGACGAAGUGUGAGUGACGGUAACGGGUGAAGAAGCACCGGCUAACUACGUG
rnacentral:rRNA from 1 species